rnacentral:rRNA from 1 species
UACGGGGGGGGUAAGCGUUGUUCGGAAUUACUGGGCGUAAAGGGCUCGUAGGCGGUUUGUCGCGUCGGGAGUGAAAACCAGGUGCUUAACACCUGGCUUGCUUUCGAUACGGGCAGACUAGAGGUAUUCAGGGGAGAACGGAAUUCCUGGUGUAGCGGUGAAAUGCGCAGAUAUCAGGAGGAACACCGGUGGCGAAGGCGGGUCUCUGGGCAGUAACUGACGCUGAGGAGCGAAAGCGUGGGGAGCGAACAGG